rnacentral:rRNA from 2 species
UAAUACGUAGGUCCCGAGCGUUGUCCGGAUUUAUUGGGCGUAAAGCGAGCGCAGGCGGUUUAAUAAGUCUGAAGUUAAAGGCAGUGGCUUAACCAUUGUUCGCUUUGGAAACUGUUAAACUUGAGUGCAGAAGGGGAGAGUGGAAUUCCAUGUGUAGCGGUGAAAUGCGUAGAUAUAUGGAGGAACACCGGUGGCGAAAGCGGCUCUCUGGUCUGUAACUGACGCUGAGGCUCGAAAGCGUGGGGAGCAAACAGG